AUUGAACGCUGGCGGCAGGCCUAACACAUGCAAGUCGAGCGAGCGGCGGACGGGUGAGUAAUGUCUGGGGAACUGCCCGAUGGAGGGGGAUCACUACUGGAAACGGUAGCUAAUACCGCAUACCAUCAGAUGUGCCCAGAUGGGAUUAGCUAGUAGGUGGGGUAAGGGCUCACCUAGGCGACGAUCCCUAGCUGGUCUGAGAGGAUGACCAGCCACACUGGAACUGAGACACGGCCCAGACUCCUACGGGAGGCAGCAGUGGGGAAUAUGGCACAAUGGGCGCAAGCCUGAUGCAGCCAUGCCGCGUGUAUGAAGAAGGCCUUAGGGUUGUAAAGCACUUUCAGCGGGGAGGCGUUACCCACAGAAGAAGCACCGGCUAACUCCGUGCCAGCAGCCGCGGUAAUUC
rnacentral:rRNA from 1 species